UCCACAACUGUGGCAAUCUAGUCUUAAACAGAAAAUUGGUUUGCUUUGGAUGAAGAACUUGCAACAUGGAAAACCUAGGAUGCAAUUAAGUAUAACACCUACAAUGUAUGUUAGAGAUGCUAAUUUAUGCUAGGAGAGAAAUCUUUUGCCCAAGUUUAAGGAGAGCCAAUAAGAAGGGAUGUGUAAGUACUUUCCUCAACUGUGUUCUUAAGUAAAAUCACAAGAUUUCAGCCAUGUUUACACUGGCAGCUAGAUUCCUUUUCACAAUUGUCAUCAGCUGUUUUUCUAAUUGAAUUAGUGCUUACCUUGGUUUACAGCUGCAGGUGUAGACAAAGAGAAGACUGAAAACCAUCAUUUAAACAAGUCUCUUUUUCUUUCCUUAGCUCAACUUGUGACUGUCUUCCUGUCUCCUUUAUGCAGACAGGAGUAUUCACUUGAAUUUGCAUGAAGAUUCCCAAAUACUGCAAAAAUAGUCUGGUCCCAGACUGAAAAAGGAAGCAAUAAUUCUCAAUGGUUAGAGAACUAAAGAGCAUGCUGAUGACCCUGAUAUCUGUAUACACAAGCCUAUGACUCAUGAAACCAUCAAGGAUGCUUACUUAAGACUCACUAAAUAUUUUCUGUUAAAUUUGGCAGGGACACUUCAAGAUGUCAGAGCAUUUAAUGACAUGUAGAAAUUGUCAGAUUAUCUGUUUGUGAAGAGAAUUAUGUUGAUCCUAACUAGGUGAAUCUUAAUUCUAAGUGUGCUUUGUGAUUGCGUAAAUAUCUGUAGUACUCCUUUGUCAGUCAUGGAUCAAAUAUUUUUCUAUGAGUAAAAGAAAACUGAUAAUUUACCAAAGUUGGAAACAGCUAAGUAUCUGCAGCAAUCAAGAACAGUAGUUAGAAUUUAGGUUAGAACCACAUUGGAACAACAAAGAGAAGUUCACAUUGGAAACCAUCUUGAUGGAAUCAUGUUCUCUUUUCUUUCAGAAUGGCCUCGACUUCACUUUUGUUUUUCUAAGCAUGUAGUAUCACAAUGCACCAAAAGACUUGCAUUAUUUUUAAGAUGGAAUAUUUAGGUGAUGCAGCUUGUAUCCUGAUAAUGUAAGUGAUUCCAGUGCAUAUAGGCUUACAUACAGUAUCCAUCUAUUUCAGUUCUCUUGGGCUUGUCCUUUUCUUUCCACUACAAGUUAACCUUUAGGUUUGCACUGGUAACAAUACAAAGAAUGAAGGCACAUGCACAGGUUGAAAAAUUAUUUGAAAUCCCUAUAUUAUCUAACAGCAUUGGGUUUUUUCUAUCAAAUUGCUUUUGAUUAUAAAAAUAAAGAUUUGUAUUGAUUUGCCUUUAAUAAAAAAAAGACUGAGCAGUGCUUGCUGUAAAAUCGGACAAUAAACUUUGAAAUUAC